rnacentral:rRNA from 1 species
CGAAGCGUGCGAUUGGAUUGCACGUCUAAGCAGUAAGGCUGAGUAUUAGGCAAAUCCGGUACUCGUUAAGGCUGAGCUGUGAUGGGGAGAAGACAUUGUGUCUUCGAGUCGUUGAUUUCACACUGCCGAGAAAAGCCUCUAGAUAGAAAAUAGGUGCCCGUACCGCAAACCGACACAGGUAGUCAAGAUGAGAAUUCUAAGGUGAGCGAGCGAACUCUCGUUAAGGAACUCGGCAAAAUGACCCCGUAACUUCGGGAGAAGGGGUGCUCUUUAGGGUUAACGCCCAGAAGAGCCGCAGUGAAUAGGCCCAAGCGACUGUUUAUCAAAAACACAGGUCUCUGCUAAACCGUAAGGUGAUGUAUAGGGGCUGACGCCUGCCCGGUGCUGGAAGGUU